UGGGGAAUAUUGGGCAAUGGAGGGAACUCUGACCCAGCGAUGCCGCGUGGGUGAAGAAGGCCUUCGGGUUGUAAAGCCCUUUAGGUUGGGAAGAAGAUGUAGGUAUGAAUAAUGCCUAUGUUUGACGGUACCGACAGAAUAAGCACCGGCAAACUCUGUGCCAGCAGCCGCGGUAAUACAGAGGGUGCGAGCGUUAAUCGGAAUUACUGGGCGUAAAGGGCGCGUAGGCGGAUAGGAGGGUGAGAUGUGAAAGCCCUGGGCUCAACCUAGGAAGUGCGUUUCAAACUAACUAUCUGGAGUACAGGAGAGGGUAGCGGAAUUUCCGGUGUAGCGGUGAAAUGCGUAGAUAUCGGAAAGAACGCCGAUGGCGAAGGCAGCUACCUGGCCUGAUACUGACGCUGAGGCGCGAAAGCGUGGGGAGCAAACAGG
rnacentral:rRNA from 1 species